CGAGCGCUUCCCUUCGGGGAGGAGCGGCGGACGGGUUAGUAACGCGUGGGAACAUACCCUUCACUAUGGAAUAGCCUCGGGAAACUGGGAGUAAUACCGUAUGUGCCCUUCGGGGGAAAGAUUUAUCGGAGAAGGAUCGGCCCGCGUUAGAUUAGAUAGUUGGUGGGGUAAUGGCCUACCAAGUCUACGAUCUAUAGCUGGUUUGAGAGGAUGAUCAGCAACACUGGGACUGAGACACGGCCCAGACUCC
rnacentral:rRNA from 1 species